GAAAUGCGAUAAGUAAUGUGAAUUGCAGAAUUCAGUGAAUCAUCGAAUCUUUGAACGCACAUUGCGCCCGCCAGUAUUCUGGCGGGCAUGCCUGUUCGAGCGUCAUUUCAACCAUCAAGCCCCCGGGCUUGUGUUGGGGACCUGCGGCUGCCGCAGGCCCCGUAAACCAGUGGCGGGCUCGCUGUCACACCGGGCGUAGUAGAUUUUUCGUCUCGCCCAGGGCGUGCUGCGGGUUCCGGCCGUUAAAAAGCCUCUCUUUUAACCCAAGGUUGACCUCGGAUCAGGUAGGAAGACCCGCUGAACUUAAGC
rnacentral:misc_RNA from 1 species